rnacentral:lncRNA from 1 species
CGAUUUUGAAGUCAUCCGCAGCUACUGGCCACUCACAGGGUUGGAGCAAUUUCGUUCUGGUACACAGAAUCCACAACCUUCCUGUUACAAGAGUUUCACUGCAGUAAGAAAUUUAAAUUACUCAAGGCAGUUAAAUUCCAGAUUGGUAUUGAGACAAAGUUAGGACGAAAAGGGCGUAUGUAAAAUUACCGUUUCCGGGUUGUAGCAUCAAACAGGGCGAUCCAAUUCUGAGCGCAAAAAAAGCACUUCCAGGAAGUUCCUCUUCUGGAGCUCGGUAUACCAAACAGAAAGCCC